ensembl:lncRNA
UACAAAGAGGGGAACAUAGGACCCGGGGUGCAUAGGACCCGGGGAACAUAGACACGCUCCCUAAUGAAAGGUUUUAUACAAAUUAUUUCGGUAUUGCGGUGAAGUAUUUCCAUCCAGACACUCUUGAAGAGAACAGCAACGCUUUUGGCCCGCCUAUAUCAGAUAAACCUGUCACGAUCCGUUCCUGAGUUUCCCAGUGACCCUGCAAUUCCCUAAUCAACCCAACCGUCCUCACCUGUGUUCCCUCUAUAAUAACCCUCUGCCCCAACCAGCCUCUGAUCGUCUCUAGUCUUGACUGAGCUUUCCCGCGCUCUCUAUCUCCGUGUAUCUCAUAUCUGCCUGCCUGCCUGCCUGCCUGCCUGUUGCCGUCCUCUCGCUUGUCUGACCUCGCGCCUGGUGCCUAGUCCCUGUCGAUCCUGUCUGCUUACCGGAUACCGAAUCCUCGCCCGCCCGACCUCCCACCUGUCGAAAAUGAGUCUACGGCAAAAAAAAACAUUAGUCAACUAGUCUUACUAUUACCUGCCUAUUUAUGUUAUCACGUCUCAAACGGCAAACUAAUUGACCUCCACACAAGGCAGUGUGUGGAGGUGCUUUGAUAUGUAAAAUGGCCGACUCGACCUGCUCGUUUGCUAUCGUCUUUCUUCGCCUCCCCUUUACACUAGUUCUGUCGGUUUAACGCAAACCAAUUUUAACAGCAUUAAUUUUUUUAUCUUGCGUUUAACUUUUUUUAAAUAUUUUCUUCAAUAUUUUUUAAGUUUAUGCCAAUGUUGUUCUCAAAGAAACGUUUGCACAAAGCAAGCCGAUGCACUUCUCCAUGUUAAGUGCAUUAAAAAGAGAAAUUGAUGGGACAAAGAAAUCAAGGGAUAUUUAGAAUAGAAAAAAAUGUUAACUAUGACAUUAAUCCUGAUUAAAUAUUUUAAUCGCUUGACAGAACUAGUUUACACUUUAACGUGCCUGGCUGAUUUCAGAGUUGAUAUGUCUUUAAUGUUUUUUUUUAAUCAGUCGUUUAUUAAGCGACCAAUCGCAUAAAUGAGUCGUUAGUGGCAUCCCAUGUGUUACGGCCAGCUGUUAAGCAUUCAUUUCUUUCCAUUUUGUUUUCACAGGCUACGGCAAUCCAGGGGGAUUUGAUGUCCUGUUAUCGAGCCGCAGCUGACUCGAUGUGUCUGGGGACCUCGCAUUCCCCCGUAGGGUCCCUAGGAACACGGACAAGCUGACCGUAGCGGAAGUCUUGAAUUUGGGUCCCAGGCAGAGGUUUGUUUGUCCUUUUUCAACAGGUGGGCGUGAUCGAGGUCAGGGUGGUGCAGGUCCUGGAGAACAGGGUGGUGCAGGUCCUGGAGAACAGGGUGGUGCAGGUCCUGGAGAACAGGGUGGUGCAGGUCCUGGAGAACAGGGUGGUGCAGCUCCAAGGAGCGCCAGUGGAGCUCAAAUGCUUUGAGGUGUGCGGUGGGACGGGAUUGACUGUGUGGGACCGGCUGAUCCUAUCGGUGCAGGUGGGGAGGUGCUACUCCUUUCAGGCUUUGAGCACCAGGAUGGAUGCUAACCGGACAGUGUUGACCCCCACACCCUCCUCAGUCGUCACCGUCAUUGCGGGUAUUGGGCAGCCAUCUUCCCUUCUAUUGAUGACCGUGAAGGCUAAGGAGACUCUGCGCGGGCUGGUGUCUGCGGUCAACAUCAUUGCGAAGCCCAGGUGCCCGAGAUGCCACACCUGCCAGGACAACCUGGGUGUGAAGCUGUCCACUCACUGCUGCGAGCGCUGAUCCAGCGCACAGCCUCGUAUUUGGCGACGUACUCGGGCAAGCUUGUUGUGGUAGCCAGAGACGGGGAGGAGUGAUCCAUGGUCCUGACAAACUCAGCGGUUUCUGCGUUUGUCAGGGAUCAACCACUAUUAACUUCUGCCCAUGACGCUCAAGCCCUGGAGGAGAUACUAAUUGUAAUGCCUGAGCUGGAGGUGACAUUCAAUUCUGAAGGGCUGGUUGAGCGCUUGGCUACUCCUGCUGUUGCUGAGGGGGAGGCCCCAGUUCACAGCGGCCAGGGCAAUGUCCCGGAUGCGGAGGAGGCGUCGACCUCCUACGUAAGGGACUCUGAGGCUGUGCUACAUGUGGAUGAUGAGGGCCUGGCAGAAUUGUUUGACGAGCAUUGACGUUUACCUUUGUUGUGUGGUUGUGUUGUUUUUCAAUUUUGGCACUUAUACUAACUAAUAAAGUUUGUUUUGUUUUAAGCAAUUGUUUAGUCUUAAAAAGGGAAUUGGUCAGUUAGACUAAGCUGUGCAGGUAAUGGUAAAGUCUUUAUGGUCUAAAUAUUGAAUUUAAAGGAAGCCUUUCUUUCUCAUGGCGGUUAAGAAUCUUGUUGGUGAACGAACACACACACAAACAAGUAAAUGGUAGGGAUGGGCGUGAGGAAUCGAUUACUAGAGUACUCCUCGUUACAAAUGAACUCGGUUGGUGGACAGGCAAACUCGAGUUUGCAUCUACACAAAUAAACAAAGUUUUCUGAAGCAAAUGUCAAUUGUCUGUGCGGUGCCACUAACGCAUGCCGUGGGCACAAAGCAAAUGAAAUGUAUCAAUUUUAUGUGUGGCGCGUGCCGUGCCGUGUGCAGGCACGCCAGAAUUCAAAAAGUUAGAGAUGGUGGUUAAAGCAAAGCGCAGCGAAGAAUUGAAAUACUUUAAAGAAAUAGGAGAUCAUAAGUUGAAAUGUAAAAUAUGCCAAGCGAAAUCGAGCUACCAGAGUACUACAAGUACUAUGCGGCAACAUAUGCUCCUGAAACACAGCGGUGAGUUCGGGAAAGCAGACCCGCAGCAACCAAGUGUGUCGGCUAUUUUCACCGCCGCAAGACGCAGCCGUAAUCCCGGCCGUGUAGAGAAGAUCACAACGCUGAGUAUUUCCAUAGUCCAUUUGCUGCCGUUUUAUUUGCAGCUUUAAAUUAUUUGCAAUGGUUAGGCUACUUGUUUUUGUUUAUUUUAAACCGUUACAGGCCUUGGUUCGACGUGAUUUAAAU